rnacentral:ncRNA from 1 species
AGCCAAUAUUGGCAAAGUACAUGAAAAUGUAUGACGCAAAGCUAUAGGGGCUACGUUUUUUACAAAUAGGCCAGCCAGCUGCAUCU